AUUCCUACCCUUUACUUUAAGGCAAGGGGGAUGCGCAUGCGUUUAAAGCUUUCCAACAGGAAGGCAUUGGAUCAAUUAUUUCUUAUGUGGAAUUUGAAAAUGUUAGACGUCUCAUGCAAAGUGUGAGGACGUCUGGCAUUGUUUCAUGGAGAAAACUGGUAGGCACCAGGAAGUGGUAAUAGCUGUCUGGUAGGCAGCUAACUAGAG